CCGGAAGUGCGUGUGCAGAGCGGCUUCGGCGCAGGGGGCGGGGAGUGAGGAGAGGCGCGUGGUUCUUCGUGUCUGAGAGCGGGGGGCUCCUCGCUUCGGACUGGUGGUCGACCCCGGCUUGCGGGGUGACGCGGGGGUCUCCGCUGUCACCGGCUCCAGCCUCAGCAGCAGGGCCCCGGACAGGGGAGGCGGAGGGGGCCUGGGCCGAACUCAGGCUCCGACGCCGGGGCGGGGCUGCGGCAGGUGCGGCUGCUGCCCGACGAGCCUGGGCGGCCGGGCGGCCGGGGCCGGCGCGAGGGUCUGGGGAGCGCGUAGAUGGCGGAUGAGACUCCUCUGCCCGGAGCACGUUGUGUGACUCUUUCCCCAGGGUUUCCUCAGGAAUCGAGAACUGUCCAGCCCUCGGCGAUUAGAAGCGGGCAGGCAGCGGUUGGCCAUUUCCUCCCGGUCGGUGAGAGCGCUCAGAGCGCGCUCAGUUUGGGGGGUCCAGGUGAGAAUCUACAUAGAAUGGUGGAAUCGGCCUUGAUAGGACCAGAAGACCAGUCACUGCACCAGCCUGGCGCUGACAUUCUCUGGAACCUACGACCAGAAGGCCUGAGGCUUGGAGGCCAAAGAGCAAGACCAGCAUUUCAUCUUGGUCAGCUGCAGGGUCAACUGGAUGGCAGGGAUAAUGCGAUGUUUCCAAUCUGGGCGUACAGAGAAGGCCAACAGGGCACCUGGCUUAGGGUCGUCCAUCACCCUAAUUAGAAGGGAAGAAGAAGGGAAGGAAUGUGAAUGAGGCCCAUUCGUCUCCACCCAUGUCAGGCUGUCCUUUGAGCCCCACACAUUCCAAGUGACAAUGGACACUUCUCUGUUACGGAAGACAAUCCCAGGCGCCACUAGGUCCAAAGGUAACAAAAGACAGGGUAUUUCCAGCUGCUGUUCCAGAAAUGGCAUUUAACCUAAGGAGAGCCCUGGCCCCAGCCAGAGCAGGUCAUCUUUGCUAAGUCAAGGUUAUACUUGUGCAGCCUCGGGAGCCUGACUGUUCUAACGUGUGUGCAGGCACGCGUGGGGCGGCGCGUCUAGAUGCCGCGGUCCCUGCUUCCUGCCAUCAUCAUUGCCUUUGUCAUAGCACGCAGGGAACACAGGCUUUGACGGGCAAGGUAAUCCCAGGCGGUUUAGAACAGGGAAGAAAUAACUAGUACCUUCCAGUAACCAUCCCAUCCCCUUCAAUAAGAGGAAGGCAGCCCUGGUAGUGCCGUCUUCCCCCGCGGAGUCUCAAGAGCUAGAUGAACAUGCAGGAAAAUGAGCCUCUGCUUGCAGCGUUGGAGGAAGGAAAAGAGAGUCUAGAAGAUCACUUGGCCACCUCUCCUUGGGGGUUAUGAGUAAAUUGCAGGCUUCUGUCCUACCCUGGAAUAAACAGCUUCCUUUUUU